CCGUCAACAGAAGAUAUGGUGAUCUGGGAAACUUGAAGUGGGAUCAGGGAGGGCUGUGAGAUCGCAGGCGCCGCCCCGCAGCGAGGCGCCUGUUGAGAGCUCCCGCAGGCCUUCGCAAGCCGGAGCCCUCAGCGGACGACGUUCAGGGACUAGCGGGCGAGGCGCUCAGACACGGCGGACCCGCCUUCACCAGGCACCAGCACUACGCUGCCGGCGUCGGCCGAGAUCCCUCUGGGCAGUUCCGCCUCAGGCUUCGGUCUGCGCAGCCGCAGGAAGCCGUGCCGUUUUUCCGCCCAUCGCCACGAUAGCGGCUGCAUGGCGGGCGCGGAGUUGCGGGCGGCGCUCGAGCAGCGGCUCGGUGCCCUGGCCAUCCAUACUGAGGUCGUGGAGCACCCCGAGGUGAGGCCCCUAGAAGCGACCGCCGAGACAGGCCCAGCGGGGUGGGCUGUGCUGCACGUCCGUCGGGCGAGGCCGCUGAGAUCAGGUGUCCCAGGGUCAAUGUACCGUGAGAACGUCGCUCCUGGAAUAUUUCCCCGGUCUCAAAAUACGAAAGUGACCCUGCAGGGACAGCAGAGAACUUCCAUCUUGGGACCAUGAGGUUACUGCACGGAAAUCUUUACUCUUGGGAGUGAUUUGCUUACAUUCCGUGUUGAGAACCAGCACAACAUACGGAGGACUGUGCAUCUUAAAUGGGUCUGGGAUGCUGGGUCAGUUUGUCCACUUUUUGUGUAGAUAAAAUAAGCAAGUGGUUAAUAGUGUGUUCAGUAGGUACGACGUAUCAGGCACCAUACGUAGAGCAGGACACUGAGGUUCACAGUGAUAUUUUUCCACUGUGGUCAGGGUUGAUCACAAAGCAUGCAGCAUGGCAGAAACCACCACCACCCGUAAAGUGCUUACCAAAAUUGACAUGCCUGUAUUUUCAUAAAUUGUAACAUUUGUUGUGUUUUGAUGGAAAGUCUUACUUGCAUUUAUUUAUUUAUUUAUUUAUUUUAUUAAUUUAUUUAUUUAUUUAUUUGAGACAGAGUCUUUUUCUGUGGCCCAGGCUGGAGUGCAGUGGUGCGAUCUCGGCUCAAUGCAACCUCUGCCUCCUGGGUUCAAGCGAUUCUCCUGCCUUAGCCUCCCGAAUAUCUGGGACGACGAAUAUGUGGGACUACAAGCGCCCGCCACCACGCCUGGCUCAUUUUUGCGUUUUUAGUAGAGACGGGAUUUCGCCAUGUUGGCCUGGCUGGUCUCGAACUCCUGACCUCCAGGUGAUUCUCCCACCUGGGCUUCCCAAAGUGCUAGGAUUACAGGCGUGACCCAUCGCGCCCGACCACUUGCAAAUAUUUCACAGAGCCAAUGUGUAACUUGAGUGGUGCAAGGACAUGAAGUUUACCCAAGGCUUAACAGUUGAUAAUGGCUAAAUAUGGUGAUCUUCAAAGAGUAGAGAAAUAUAGUUAGUAUUCCUCACCUUCACAAAUACAACAUCAAAACCGUAAUCAUUUUCUGUGACCUCCCUCCCUCCCAUAUAGUCCUAUAUUCUCCCCCUUCUUUAUGUGUGCGUAUGCCAGCUUUUCUGAUGUUCUGUUAGUCUGGGUUCUUAUUGCCUCCCCACUCACCUUCUUUGUGGUUACAUAUUUGUAGAAUGGAGGUUGUCACAUGGUCUGGACGUAACGGAAUGCUAAAGAAUAGGAGUCUAGAACUGCUGUAAACUUUCAGUAACCAAAAGCUUAAAUUUAGAAAUAAAAAGCUGCUGAGGAGUGAGAUCUUGGCAAGUACAUUGGAAUACAAAACUGGCCGAAGAAACUGCCUGAGGUCCUGAGAUGAGGAAAUGAGAUGGCAUGGGCUUGUGGACAUGAAAAGGUGUACUUUCAUCCAAUGACCAAUGCUGCAACCAUGGGAUUGAGCCCUGAAGACUUUCUCACAUUUGUGAAGAUGACAGGACAUGAUCCCAUAAUACUAAAUUUUGAUAAAAACAACUAAUUGGGCCAAUGUUUAGAAUAAAUUUCUUUCUGAAA